UACGUAGGUGGCAAGCGUUGUCCGGAAUCACUGGGCGUAAAGCGCGCGCAGGCGGCGAUCUACGUCUGGGGUGAAAGCCCGGAGCUCAACUCCGGGACUGCCUUGGAUACGGGAUCGCUUGAGGAUUGGAGAGGCAAGGGGAAUUCCACGUGUAGCGGUGAAAUGCGUAGAUAUCGGAAGGAACAUCAGUGGCGAAAGCGGCUUCCUGGACCAGCACCGACGUUCAGGCACGAAAGCGUGGGGAGCAAACAGG
rnacentral:rRNA from 1 species